UACGUAGGUGGCGAGCGUUGUCCGGAUUUACUGGGCGUAAAGAGCGCGCAGGCGGUCGUUCAAGUCGAGUGUGAAAGCCCCCGGCUCAACUGGGGAGGGUCACUCGAUACUGAUCGACUCGAAGGCAGGAGAGGGUAGUGGAAUUCCCGGUGUAGUGGUGAAAUGCGUAGAUAUCGGGAGGAAUACCAGUGGCGAAAGCGGCACCCUAGCCUUAGCCUGACGCUCAUGUGCGAAAGCGUGGGGAGCGAACGGG
rnacentral:rRNA from 1 species